rnacentral:pre_miRNA from 1 species
UAACCUCCGUAGGCUGGCCGGCCCCCAGGCUGGGUUGGGCCGCUAGUAUCUCUUUGAAAGGCUCACCCUGAAGCAUAACAAGGAGC